ACAGGAAGUAUGAUGAGAUGAUAAUUAACAAGGGUACUGUGUUUCUGUAGGGUGUUCACUGUCAGGUCCAGGUCAGUUGGAGCUGAGGCCUGCGUCUGGCCAGGCUGUCCUCUUGCCCUGCUCUUGUUCUGAUCCUCAGGCCACACCCAGCAGGCUGACCUGGACUGUGGGCAGUCGACUAGGUGUGAUAGAGAUGUGGUCUACCCUAUCAUCUGAAUGGAGUGAUGUCUACCGACACAGGGCUGUCUUCAGCAACAGCACUUCUGGAGACCUGUCUGUCCUCCUCUCCAACUUCACCAAGAGUGAUGAGGGGGUGUAUGUGUGCAAGAUCAUAACUCACAAUAAGACAGAACAAAUGCUCACCUUCCUGUCUGGUCAACAAGAUUCGGUUCCACCUGCAUACUCCCAUAUUGCAGUGCUUCUGUUAUUCACAUUUCCUCUUGCGGUAGGGUUUCACACCUACUACUCUGUGAGAACAAAGCAGAGAGGUGAUUCAGCAGAUUCCACAGAGGGACAUGAGAUUGCCAUGGAACUCACCACGUAUGAUGACGUAGACGUAUCUAAAGUAACCACGAUUCAUAACUUAUAACUCUCACAUCUCGAUAUGCGCAAUAUCUGUCUUGACAGUGUGUCGUGGUGGACCAGACUGAUUAGACUUUAUUUCUUUUAUUUGUAUUUUUAUAGUUUGUACACAAUCUUUACCCAGCUGCAAGGCACUUCAUCCUACUUGCCUCGGGGGGAAUGUCCCUGUACUUACUGUAAGUCGCUCUGGAUAAGAGCAUCUGCUAAAUGACUAAAUGUAAUGUAAAUGUAAGCUGUAGCAGUGGUUGGGCUACCCAGAGUGGCCCCUGUCAACAGUCUUCAUGUCCUCAAUUAAGCAUGGAGUAUGUGUUACUUGGAGGGUUGUCAAAGGAUCCUUCGUUUGAAUGCACCUUGGAGAAAUAAUGAAUGCCUACUAGAUAAAAUGUGUGUUUGCAUCGGAUGUGUUAAAAAUUGCUUCCAUAUGUGUAUUUAGACAGGGCUGCCAACUUUUCCAAAAACCUUGGCGUGAGAUUUGGUAGCCCCCCCCCGCCCCCCCUCCCCUCCGCGAGCUUUCGCGAGCUUCACAAGUUUACAUGGCUUUUGAUUGAUUUUGAUUUUGCAGGUUUUCCCCAGGGGCGUCGUUAGACCCUUUUUACUGGGGCACGUGCCCCAGUAUAAAUCUGCUGUGCCCCAGUAAAAUCUAAAGUUUGAGUUUCAACAAUUUACUUUAUCAGUCAGUGCAUUAAUUUAGAUUGAUAAUCCCGGAAAAAAUAAAUGCAGUAUCCCAAUCACGAUUGUAAAAUCAAAGCAGUUUAACCGAAAACACAAACCGAUGCCCGCAGAAAAUAUUACAAAAUUAAAGAAAGUUUCUAAAUGAUAGGCCUACCGAUCAUCGUAUUUUGACUAAAACAUAAAAACUAUUAACUAUUGAUGUCACUGCCAAAGCUGAUAUCAAACUUGCAUCCCUGAACUGUUGUACUAUAGUGGGUUAAGAAAGGGGAGUUUCUAUAGCCUAGUGCGCAGCAAGCACAAUGCAUAAAAAAGAAAAAAAAGGGAUAUGAAUAAAUCAAAUUUAUUUGAUUUGAUUGAAUAGGGGCCUGUGCCCCAGUAGAGUUUUAUGUCUAACAGCGCCUCUGGUUUUCCCACUUACAAAGCAUGUAGAAGUCUGUAAUUUUUUUUAUCAUAGGUACUCUUCAACUGUGAGUGACGGAAUCUAAAACAAAAAUCCAGAAAAUCACAUUGUAUGAUUUUUAAGUAAUUAAUUAGCAUUUUAUUGCAUAUGUCACUGUACGUGACAGUUGGCUACAUGCAUAAUGUCCAUUGUCCAGAUUUUGAGAAGUAGUCUUUAGGUUUCCUGUGCAUAGGAACAGGUGCCCUGAAUGACCUAGAUAAGGAAAGCAUAUAAAUAUGAUGUGUGUGUCAAAGUUAGGAGGACUUCGAGUGCUGCCGAAGCUACGCUCUUGUACUCUUGUAUUUUGUAACGGUCGUCACUUGUACUCUAUUUUUUACUUAGAUAUAUAAACUUAGAAGCUUACCUCAUUAAUUUGUAUUGUUUUAUUUUUACUUUUUAUAUAAUAAAUAUGUCAAAGACA